rnacentral:rRNA from 1 species
GAUGAACGCUGGCGGCGUGCCUAAUACAUGCAAGUCGAGCGAACAGACGAGGAGCUUGCUCCUCUGACGUUAGCGGCGGACGGGUGAGUAACACGUGGAUAACCUACCUAUAAGACUGGAUAACUUCGGGAAACCGGAGCUAAUACCGGAUAAUAUAUUGAACCGCAUGGUUCAAUAGUGAAAGACGGUUUUGCUGUCACUUAUAGAUGGAUCCGCGCCGCAUUAGCUAGUUGGUAAGGUAACGGCUUACCAAGGCGACGAUGCGUAGCCGACCUGAGAGGGUGAUCGGCCACACUGGAACUGAGACACGGUCCAGACUCCUACGGGAGGCAGCAGUAGGGAAUCUUCCGCAAAGGGCGAAAGCCUGACGGAGCAACGCCGCGUGAGUGAUGAAGGUCUUCGGAUCGUAAAACUCUGUUAUUAGGGAAGAACAAAUGUGUAAGUAACUAUGCACGUCUUGACGGUACCUAAUCAGAAAGCCACGGCUAACUACGUG